AUGGCCUCAUCUGAUGUUCCGGGCAGUCCCGAGAGGGUUUGUAACUUCGAGCCAUCUGUUUGGGAAGAUUUCUUCAUCAUAUACGAGCCAGAGCCACUCCAGAUAUCUGAAGAAUGUAUGAGGGUGAAAGCUGACAAACUGAAGGAGGAUGUACGCAUGUUGUUUCAGACGUUCAAUGGUACUAUGGAAGAGAAACUGACCUUCCUGGACACACUCCAGCAUCUCGGAAUUGAUCACCUCUUCAGAGAACAGAUAAACAAGGCCAUAAAUGAAAUCCACGAGACUGAAUUCAAUAGCUGUAGCCUGUAUGAGGUUGCUCUUUAUUUCCGCUUGCUUCGAGAGCAUGGACUCUGGGUGUCUCCAGAUGUAUUCGAUAAAUUCAGAGGUGAAAAUGGGAGCUUCGACAUGUACAUAACUAAUGAUCCAAGGGGGUUGUUAAGUUUAUACAACGCGUCUUACCUUUCUCUCCCUGGAGAACCAGAACUCGACCAAGCCAUCGCUUUUGCACGACAUCAUCUUGAAUCCAUGAGAGGCAGCCUCAUGUACCCUUUAUCUGAGCAAGUCAGAAGAAACUUGGUGAUACCUUUACCAAGGACUUUGAACAGAAUAGAUGCAUCACAUUAUAUUGCAGAGUACAAACAUGAGCAAGAAUACAACCCCUCCGUGCUUGAGCUUGCAAAGCUUGACUUUAAUCUUCUGCAGCGUCUUCACCAGUUGGAGCUCAAGGCUUUUUCUCGGUGGGGAAACGAUUUAUAUGAAGAAGUCGGGCUAAGCUACUCUCGGAAUCGUAUCGUUGAAUGCUACUUCUGGUCAUACACGGAGCUCUACGAGCGACAUUAUGGUGUUGCGCGGAUAAUCCUUGCCAAGUUGUUUGUGCUAGCAAGCAUGUUAGAUGAUACUUUCGAUAUGCAUGCAACAUUGGAAGAGGGUCAGAAGCUUAACGAAGCUAUACAAAGAUGGGAUGAGAGUGCUAUUCCUCUUUUACCGGAGUACUUGAAGAAGUACUUCAUCAGGAUGAUGAAUACCUUCAGAGAGUUUAAUGAUGAACUAAAACAAGAUCACAAGUACCGUGUUGCUUACUGUAGGAAAGCGUUCCAAACUCUGUGCGGUUGUUACCAACAGGAAUCUGAAUGGUUUCAUAGUAGUUACAUACCAACCUUUGAAGAUCAUGUCAAGUGCUCAAUCAUCUCAGCUGGUACCCCAAUGCUAUUCGUCGGUUCACUUGUUGGUAUGGGUGAAGAGGCAACCAAGGAAGCAUUCGAGUGGGCCAUUGGUUGCACCGAUGCUGUAAAGGCUUGCGGUGAGGUGACACGUUUCAUGGAUGACCUGGCUUCAUUUAAGCAUGGAAAGAACAAAUUGGACGUGGCCAGCUCCGUAGAAAGCUAUAUCAACCAGUAUCAUGUCACGGAUGAGGUAGCAAUCGCCACGCUGGAAAAUCUAGUUGAAAAUGCGUGGAAAACUACAAACCAGGCACGAUUUGACUGUCGUGCUCUGCUCCCUCUUGUAAACCGAGUCGCUAGCAUUACUAAAAGCAUGACGUUAUUGUUCCAUGAUAGAAUGGACCUGUACACAUUCAGUCGUGGCAACAAAGACAGGAUUCAUCAGCAGUUCGUGCAGCCUAUCCCCCUCUAG
rnacentral:rRNA from 1 species